AACUUUCAACAACGGAUCUCUUGGUUCCCGCAUCGAUGAAGAACGCAGCGAAACGCGAUAGUUAAUGUGAAUUGCAGAAUUCAGUGAAUCAUCGAGUCUUUGAACGCACAUUGCGCCCAUUGGUAUUCCUUUGGGCAUGUCUGUUUGAGCGUCAUU
rnacentral:rRNA from 23 species